CAAACAGAGUUAGAGCCAGAGAGUGGGAGAGCGUGCGUCUCUCUUUCUGCGUGUGUGUGUGUGUGUGUGUAUUAUGUAGCGGAAUGUUUCGUGUGUGUGUGUGUGUGCGCGAGCGAGCUUGUUCCAAUUGGAAUUUGCAGUUUGCAUUUGCAUGUGUUAUUUUCUGUUGUUGUUUGUUUUUGUGUUUGUGUUUGUUUUUGCACUGCGUGCAUUUUCAUUCAUAAGCGCAUUUUUACAACUUCCGCUCGCAUGAAAGAAGCAGCACAAAUACAAAACAGUUAGCUUUGCGUUCUUUGCCAAUUGCCUUGUGUGUCCGCCUUGCCGCCCGCAGCAGGCUUUGCGUUUACCGUUUCAUAAAUCCAAAUCCUAACGUUCAAUUCGUCGAAUUUUGUUCCUUCCGAUUUUGUUUUUUUUUUUUUUUUCUAUCUAUCUCUUUUUUCGUUUCUCUUCGUUUCUGUUUUGUUAAUGUGUUUCUUCUGUUCAGCGUUUACACGCCGUUUCCUGCGAAUCGUCGAAAAGAAGCCGCUUGCAAAAAUUCAUUUCAAUUCCCAAUGCAGUUUGCGAUCUGUGACGCAGAUGAGAGGCCCAAAAACUGUGGCUAAUUAGCCAAGAUGAAAAAAAAA